rnacentral:rRNA from 1 species
GUCCUGGCAGUAACGGUGCAUGUUGGUGUGGAGGAUUCGACCCUUCCGUGCCGGAGCUAACGCGUUAACAUGCCGCCUUGGGAGUACGGUCGCAAGAUUAACUCAAGAAUUGACGGGCCGCACAAGCGGUGGAGUAUGUGGCUUAAUUCGAUGCAACGCGAAGAACCUUACCUGGCCUUGACAUGCAUCUCUAAGUCGGUGAAAGCCGGCGAGUGUAGCAAUACACAAUUUGCACAGGUGCUGCAUGGCUGUCGU